rnacentral:misc_RNA from 1 species
AACCAUAGAAACCUGCGGAGUACCUGCGGAGGGAUCAUUAUAGUAUAUGGGAUCUCCAUUCUAUAAACCCACUCUGCGUAUCUUGUAACUGUUGCUUCCAUGGGACUUGGUUCCGCCACACCGGCUUCACGGCUGGUGAGCGCCCAUGGAAGGAGAAACAAAACUCUUCUUUGAAAUGUAGUCAGUCUGAACAAGUUUUUAUAAACGUUAAAACUUUUAACAAUGGAUCUCAGAUCGGAA